rnacentral:lncRNA from 1 species
AGCUCGGGACACUUUGUAACCACUUCUGUCACCUCCUGAAGUACACCAAUUGUCCUGGGAAGAACAGGAGAGUAGGGCCAACGAGGGUCUUCAGUGCUAGGAAGCAGCUCUACUCCCGUCUGACCCUGCCAUUUGGGAGGCCAGAUGGCGAGGACCUAGAGCUUUCCCUCCAGCUGCUCUGGCCUUGUGCAACAUCCAGGUUAUCUCAGCAGAAGCCAAAGAGCCGCAGAGAGCCUACCUGGAAGAAAGCAGGCAUUAAGAAUGCACCUGUUCCGCCAGCUCAGCACAGCAGCGUGACUGGAGAUAAAUAUAUUUGGUAAAUAGCAUAACAACUGCUGUUACCACGUAGGGACACAACGGUGCUUGAGAAACAUGAAUAAAUUACUUGGACUAUGAAAAUGAAGAGUCACAACUACAGAGAGACUGGUGGCUUGACAAUGGAUGGCAGCAGUGGGUGAGAUGAGCUGAACAGCUCAUCUUUGAGAGCAUGGGAUAAAGUUUUUUUCCUUCCUUGGAAGAUUUGAAGAAGUGGAACAACAGGAAGGCCAUGGUCUCUGUUCUCUGCCCAUAGUUACACAAGCUAUGCUGCCAGCAGGCGCCUGGGCUGAGGCAGAGUGAAGGGAUUAAAGGCCUCUGUCUCCAGAUCCAAAAAUAGCCAUUUGCACUGAAUGUGCAAUGGAUUUAACAAUGUUAUUUCUUCUGAACAUUCACUUUCCAUUUCAAGUCAGAUCCUGUGAUCUCAGUAGAACUUUGCUAUCUCUCUUUGAAUGGCAGAAUUCACACAUAGAGUGAAAAGAAUUUCAACACGGACAGAUUGAUAGAGCUUUCACUUAAGACAGAAGUCAAUUCAAAAGUUGGUGGAUGGCAGGACAGAAAGUUCUAGAAGCUCUUCAGUCUGUUCACUGCCCACAAAAAGGCUGCACAGCCAUUCCCUUAUAUAUUCCAGCUCCCUCCCUGGAAGCCACUUUUUCAAGACUACUUCUCUUCUUUGGGACUGAUUUUAUUAUUUGCCAGGGACAUCUGCUCCAAACCCUCUGCUUAUUAUUUCUAAUGCAAAAGGUGAACUACUUUUCUAGAAUGUCCAUUAUCACUUGUUUCUUCGUUCUUUGUGAAAUUUUACCUCCUUCUCCUAGUGGUUUGAAAAUCAUCAGUUUACCUGACCUCUCCAUGCCCUGAUGUGACACAGCAAUGAGGCCAGCUCUCCUCAGGAACAGCUUCAUUUCUUCGCACCUACUAGCUGUUGUGAGAUGUGACGUGUAUUAUCUUUAAUCCUCUAACUUAGGGA